AGGGUUCUAUCUCAAUGGAAGAGAACCUGCCUUACAAGAAGGAGGUUGGUGGUUCGAUUCCUCCAUGCCCUA
rnacentral:tRNA from 1 species